AUAGGUGGGAGGCUUUGAAACCAGGACGCCAGUUUUGGCGGAGCCAUCCUUGGGAUACCACCCUUGUAGUACUGGGACUCUAACCAUAGGCCAUGAAUCUGGUCUUGGGACACUGUCAGGUGGGCAGUUUGACUGGGGCGGUCGCCUCCCAAAAGGUAACGGAGGCGCUCAAAGGUUCUCUCAGUACGGUCGGAAAUCGUACGUAGAGUGUAAAGGCAAAAGAGAGCUUGAUUGCAAGACAUACAGGUCGAGCAAGGAUGAAAAUCGGACUUAGUGAUCCGGUGGUUCUGCGUGGAAGGGCCAUCGCUCAACGGAUAAAAGCUACCCUGGGGAUAACAGGCUUAUCUCCCCCAAGAGUCCACAUCGACGGGGAGGUUUGGCACCUCGAUGUCGGCUCAUCACAGCCUGGGGCUGUAGUAGGUCCCAAGGGUUGGGCUGUUCGCCCAUUAAAGUGGUACGCGAGCUGGGUUCAGAACGUCGUGAGACAGUUCGGUCCCUAUCCGUCGCAGGCGUAGGAAAUUUGAGAAGACCUGUCCUUAGGACGAGAGGACCGGGAUGGACGUACCUCUGGUGUACCAGUUGUCCUGCCAAGGGCAUGGCUGGGUAGCUAUGUACGGAAUGGAUAAGCGCUGAAAGCAUCUAAGCGCGAAG
rnacentral:rRNA from 1 species